GCAUUGGUGGUUCAGUGGUAGAAUUCUCACCUGCCACGCUGGAGGCCUGGGUUCAAUUCCCAGCCAAUGCA